UACGUAGGCAGCAAGCGUUGUUCGGAGUUACUGGGCGUAAAGGGUGUGUAGGCGGUUCUUUUAAGUUUGCUGUGAAAUCUCCCGGCUUAACCGGGAGGGUGCGGUGAAUACUGAGGGACUAGAGUACGGGAGAGGAAAGUGGAAUUCCUGGUGUAGCGGUGAAAUGCGUAGAUAUCAGGAGGAACACCGGUGGUGUAGACGGCUUUCUGGACCGUAACUGACGCUGAGACACGAAAGCGUGGGUAGCAAACAGG
rnacentral:rRNA from 1 species